GUUAGGAUGUCCGAACGGUUAAGGAAUUUGCUUCGUGAAUUCAUAAUAGCAAAUGGGUUAUCCCACACAGGUUCGAAUCCUGUUCCUAACG